rnacentral:tRNA from 1 species
GCAGUAAUAGCUUAAUUAAGAGUGUGGCUUUGAAGGGGCUAAGGUAGAUGAUUUUUUAUUGCG